UAACCCCAUCCACUCCCACUUGCUCCCCUCUCCCUCUGGCCUCUCUCCCUCCCUCGCCAGAUCCAUGCGCCCGAUCGCCUCCGACGCCGUUCGUCGCCCACCACCGCGGCGACCACCUUCCCCCGUGCUCCUUCGACUGGUCCAACCACUCCACCGGCAUCCGCUGCUACCUCUACGUCGACGCGCGUGAGCCGAGGAGCCGCACAGCACCGGAUCCACCUUGUCUUCUUCCUCGGGUCGCCGCCGUCUUCCUCAACUCCGGCCACCUCUACUGCUACUAAGCUCUCGCAGGGCCUCCUUGUGCCUCCCCGGCGAAUUUGGGGCUGAGGGAAGAAGAGGAGGAGCGACUUCUCUCUGGUCUGGUGGUUGCAACUUCAGGACAAGGUAAGAAAGUGUAUGAUAUGCCUGCACCUACUGCAAUCAUUGGAUCUAUUAGUGCUUAUGCGUGGUAGUGCCAGCUGCAGUUGUUCCUACUAGCUGCCUGGUGGUAGUCAGCCCUUGCUUGGUUUAUAGUUUUUUUGAACUGCUGACAGAAGCCUGGAUUGUAGUUCUAUUGAUUGAUUUGGCGAAAGCUUGAACCUUUAAGCUACUGUUUUGAUAUUAAGUGGAUUACAUGAACCAGUUUGGUACUA